CAAACAUCGCCUCCUGCAAGAUCAAUAUAUAGGAGGUCCUGCCUGCCCAGUGACAACCUGUUAAACGGCCGCGGUAUUUUGACCGUGCUAAGGUAGCGCAAUCACUUGUCUUUUAAAUGAGGACCUGUAUGAAUGGCGGAACGAGGGCUUAACUGUCUCCCUUCUCCCGUCAAUGAAAUUGAUCUGCCCGUGCAGAAGCGGGCAUAUAUAUGCAAGACGAGAAGACCCUUUGGAGCUUAAGACAAAAAGCCAACCAUGUCAAAAAUCCAAAUAAAAUGAAAUUAAACAAAACAACAACUGGCCAACGUCUUCGGUUGGGGCGACCGCGGGGGAAAACAAAGCCCCCACGUGGAACGGGAUAAUUUCCUAAAACCAAGAGAGACAUCUCUAAGCCACAGAACAUCUGACCAAAAGAUCCGGCCCACAAGCCGAUCAACGAACCAAGUUACCCUAGGGAUAACAGCGCAAUCCCCUCCAAGAGUUCAUAUCGACGAGAGGGUUUACGACCUCGAUGUUGGAUCAGGACAUCCUAAUGGUGCAGCCGCUAUUAAGGGUUCGUUUGUUCAACGAUUAAAGUCCUACG
rnacentral:rRNA from 1 species